rnacentral:rRNA from 1 species
UAGGGAAUCUUCGGCAAUGGACGGAAGUCUGACCGAGCAACGCCGCGUGAGUGAAGAAGGUUUUCGGAUCGUAAAGCUCUGUUGUUAGAGAAGAACGUUGGUAGGAGUGGAAAAUCUACCAAGUGACGGUAACUAACCAGAAAGGGACGGCUAACUACGUGCCAGCAGCCGCGGUAAUACGUAGGUCCCGAGCGUUGUCCGGAUUUAUUGGGCGUAAAGCGAGCGAAGGCGGUUCUUUAAGUCUGAAGUUAAAGGCAGUGGCUUAACCAUUGUACGCUUUGGAAACUGGAGGACUUGAGUGCAGAAGGGGAGGGUGGAAUUCCAUGUGUAGCGGUGAAAUGCGUAGAUAUAUGGAGGAGCACCGGUGGCGAAAGCGGCUCUCUGGUCUGUAACUGACGCUGAGGCUCGAAAGCGUGGGGAGCAAACAGG